AUCCUGCUGACGAGUCCAAAAUAGGACGGGACAUGCAUCCUAGAU
rnacentral:hammerhead_ribozyme from 1 species